GUGAAUAUAGAUGCAACAAUUAAAUCUUCCAAAAUGAUUCAAUACAUAAAACUAGAGUUAUAAUCCACGAACAAUCAUCAAUACACCAAAUCCAUUAAACCUUGAAGGGAACUACUCCAUCGACAUGGAGAAAUUUAUCACAAAUUUAACUAAAGUAUAAGAAAAUAUAGAUUCGAUCCAAACUCGAGUCUUGAAUGAGGAAGGAAUGAUAAAAUCCUUGUGCUUAUGUUUUUCCUCCUCUUUAGCUUCCUUAGGUCAAAAAUGUAUCAAAAGUCCUCUCAAAAGUGUUUUUCUAGUGUAUUAUACCAAGUAAGAAUGAACCCAGACGAAACUACCCUCUUUGAGUUAAAGUGGAAAACCUACAAACUUUUUACACUCCAAGCGUCACACUAUGCUACGCUGGGAGCAUAGCAUUACUGCUAUUUGCUCAGUUGUAAACCCUCUUAACUUAGCUUGUCUGACAAAAUUUCAUAUUGACGCUAGUCUUUAUGCCACGCACUAUGCUAGUAUUAGUGUAUUUUUCAGUCAGACCCAAAAACUCCAAGUUUCUGAACUUCUCAAACUACUGACGAAAUUUUGUACUAAUGCGAUGCUUAAUGCCACGUCUUAUGCACACUAGUACUUUUUUUGCUCUAGCCCUUGCUCUUUUUUCCAACUUUCGUAUGUAACGCCGGUCCACAAGCCCCGAUGUAAUUUCGGUUUAAUUCAUUGGCUUUUACUCAAACUUCAAAACUUUAAUUAAUUAACUAGCUCCAGAACAUCUCCUACAAAGCAUAAAAUAUACAAUCGGUGCAAAAUACUAUCAAUUAAAGUUCAAACACAAGUAAAGUGCAAUGAAUUAGAGUGCAAUAAGCGACUAAAAUUCGGAAUUAUAGCCUACCAUCACACCAUGUCCAGGUCACCACCUUCAUCCCUCUCUCCCCCUUCACCAGUCCACCACCAUUACCAUAAUGUUUUAAUUUUCACCAGCUAUGUCGAAUUGUCGUUGUGCCAAUUCAUCAAACAGUUUGUGCGCAUAAUAUAGUUAUUGCAAUGUCGGCAGCCAAAGCAGUGAAACGCUCUCCCAAAUUUUUAGUGGAAAUUAUGCUUUGAAAGACAAGAACAUCUUCACUAUAAUUCGGCCGUAAGAGACAAAGUUUUCAUGUCAUUCGCACUCAGAUAAAGCUCUGGAGGAGAUGGGAAAAAAGCCAUGGGAGAGAAGACAAGAUGAGAAAGACCAGGGGUAGAGAGAGAACAUAACGCCUACAUGGUCGACGGAGUUAGUGGAGGAGGUUGUGAUCACCAGGAAUUAUUUUUUGUCAAAGAUUUCAAACAAUUAUUAAAAGAAAGUUUGACAUAAAUUUUUUCGCCUUUUAGAUAUGAGUUUUCAUUGAUUGCUCUCGAUUGAAACAAAGAGAAUGAAGAAGUCUACCCAUUUGUUCUUAGGUAUUGAAUUUAGUAAAUCAAUUUACUGCAGUGUCUCUGAUGAGGUUAAUCAUCCAUGACAAGAGAAAUUGUUAGUUGAUUUUUAUGUCUACAGCUUGUUCUUAAUAGUGUAGAAGAAUGGUGGCAGCGAGAGUGGAUAAGACAACAUGCGUGGUCCUUUGUUCUUCUCUUUUGGUAGGAGAAGACGGGGGGAAGGGUCAUCGAGGAAGAUGGCGUACGGAUGGGGUAGGGUUCUUAUUUUUCUUUUACUCUUUUUUUGAAAGCUUUUUUAAGUCCACAUGUCUUCGUCUUCUUUGUCACUCUGAUAUGUGAAUUACACGCAUGUUUUAUGUCUGAUUGCUAAUCAAUUUUGUGUCUAAAUGACACAUUUAAAAUACGCUUCAGUGUUCAAAUGAAACAGGAUUAAAAUAAAGUGU
rnacentral:lncRNA from 1 species